rnacentral:rRNA from 2 species
UGGGGAAUAUUGGGCAAUGGGGGAAACCCUGACCCAGCAACGCCGCGUGAGGGAAGAAGGUUUUCGGAUCGUAAACCUCUGUCCUUGGUGAAGAGAAGAAGACGGUAGCCAAGGAGGAAGCCCCGGCUAACUACGUGCCAGCAGCCGCGGUAAUACGUAGGGGGCAAGCGUUGUCCGGAAUGAUUGGGCGUAAAGGGCGCGUAGGCGGCCAUUUAAGAGUGGAGUGAAAGUCCUGCUUUCAAGGUGGGAAUUGCUUUGCUAACUGGAUGGCUUGAGUGCAGGAGAGGUUAGUGGAAUUCCCGGUGUAGCGGUGAAAUGCGUAGAGAUCGGGAGGAACACCAGUGGCGAAGGCGACUAACUGGACUGUAACUGACGCUGAGGCGCGAAAGUGUGGGGAGCGAACAGG